GUAUUGGGAUAAUAUACUCUUGGUCUCAAGGAAAAAGGGGAGUUUAGCAGGUGGUAGAUGUAAUAUAUGUUAUGAGGGGGUGGAUGGAAAAGGGAUGAGGGGUGGGGACAUUCAACGAAAUGGUGCUGCUGAACCUUUGUGGAUUACAUGCUAUUGACAGCACAGAACAAUGACCCUGCCAGUUGGGGGCAUGUGGAUUUACUAACAUAGGAAAUAAAAUAAGAACUUGGCUUCUCGUUUUUUUAAUAAAAAGUCUCUAAACCACUUAUGCCACUAUUUUCCAGGUGGUGUAACUGUCUCCAACUGCUGGGAGAAGUCGUCUACUGACAAUGUCACCACCACUUUCCAUUUUUGUUUAGGGACAGCCCGGAAGCUGAGAUUUGUGUAAUCGCUAAGCAAGGAGUCCACAGAGACCUUUUUUCAAUGAAAAGACAGACUGGAGAAACUUCAAGUUAAGGAAAAUUAUGUCAGCUGUCUUCCACUGAGGGAUGAUCCAGGAACCAGAGCCCAACAAGUUUGUUCUCAUUGUUUGAGUGCCGCCAAGUGCGAAAGGAAACAGAAUGGAGCUGGUGUCCAGAUAAUCUGUGAAGAGGCUGUC
rnacentral:lncRNA from 1 species